UACGGAAGGGGCAAGCGUUGUUCGGAAUCAUUGGGCGUAAAGGGCGCGUAGGUGGUUCUGUAUGUCUACCGUGAAAGCGUACGGCUCAACCCGUAUUUUGUCGGUGGAAACUGCAGGACUUGAGGCUGGGAGGGGCUGGUGGAAUUCCCUGUGUAGCGGUGAAAUGCGCAGAUAUCAGGAGGAACACCGAUGGCGAAGGCAGACUCGCUGGGACGGUACUGACGCUGAGGCGCGAAAGCGUGGGGAGCAAACAGG
rnacentral:rRNA from 1 species